GUUGAAACACCAGUUCCCAUACAAUAACUAAAGUUAAGCAAUGUCAAGCCUGGUCAGUACCUAGAUUGAUGAUCACUUGGGAAUACCAGGUGCUGUAAG